AGAGAGAGAGAGAGAGAGAGGUAAUAGGAAAGAACAAUAAGAAGGAAAAGUUAGUGACUAUUUUUUGGGCUCUCAUAAUUCUAGUUUGGUGACUUUCUUGUGUAGGCGUAUUUAAAUUAGGGUUUUUGAAGGUGUUUGUGGGGUUAGGUAGACCAAUUUUUAAAUUGUUUAAAGAAGACUUUCAUUUCAAUAACUAUUCAUUGAUAUAUUUAAAAUAAUUGUAAUUUCCAUUCUAAUUGAAAUUAGAUACUUUUCAUUAUUACGUCUACUACGGUAAGAAGGAAAUUAUCAAAUUAAAUGUAAAAUCACAAGUUUUUUCUAUUUCUACAUCUG
rnacentral:misc_RNA from 1 species